rnacentral:tRNA from 7 species
GGGCCAUUAGCUCAGUUGGUAGAGCAUCUGACUCUUAAUCAGAGGGUCGAAGGUUCGAGACCUUCAUGGCCCACCA